rnacentral:rRNA from 1 species
AAUAGAUACCCUGGUAGUCCACGCCGUAAACGUUGGAUACUAGGUGUGGCGUCCCGAUCAACGGAUGCCGUGCCGAAGCUAACGCAUUAAGUAUCCCGCCUGGGGAGUACGGCCGCAAGGCUAAAACUCAAAGGAAUUGACGGGUCCCCGCACAAGCGGCGGAGCAUGCGGCUUAAUUCGAUGCAACCCGAAGAACCUUACCUGGGUUUGAAAUCAUGGGAAAAGCUGUAGAAAUACAGUGUCCGUAAGGGCCCAUGACAGGUGGUGCAUGGCUGUCGUCAGCUCGUGUCGUGAGAUGUUGGGUUAAGUCCCGCAACGAGCGCAACCCUUGUCCUAUGUUGCCAGCGGUUCGGCCCGGGGACUCAUAGGAGACUGCCGGGGAUAACUCGGAGGAAGGUGAGGACGACGUCAAGUCAUCAUGCCCCUUAUAUCCAGGGCUGCACGCAUGCUACAAUGGUCGGUACAACGGGCAGCGACCCCGCGAGGGUGAGCGAAUCCCACGAAAGCCGGCCUCAGUUCGGAUUGGAGUCUGCAACUCG